UGGGAUCUCCUCCUGUGGGAUCUUCUGCUGUGGGAUCAUCCCAGUCUCAGAGCAUCCCCGUGGUGGAACAUUCUGGUAUCGGAGCAUGCUGGUCCCAGAGCAUCCCAGUGUCAGAACAUCCCAGUAUGGAGCAGCCCAGUGCUGGACCAGAGCGGGGCUGGAACAUCCCAGUGUGGAACAUCCCAGUGUGGAACAUCCCAGUAUGGAACAUCCCAGUGUGGAACAUCCCAGUAUGGGAUCAUCCCAGGCUGGAGCAUCCCAGUGUGGAACAUCCCAGUAUGGAGCAUCCCAUAUGGGAACAUCCCAGUGUGGAACAUCCCAGUAUGGAGCAUCCCAGUAUGGAACAUCCCAGUGUGGGAUCAUCCCAGUAUGGAACAUCCCAGUGUGGGAUCAUCCCAGUAUGGAACAUCCCAGUAUGGGAUCAUCCCAGUGUGGAACAUCCCAGUAUGGAGCAUCCCAGUAUGGAGCAUCCCAGUAUGGAACAUCCCAGUAUGGGAUCAUCCCAGUGUGGAACAUCCCAGUAUGGAGCAUCCCAGUAUGGAGCAUCCCA